rnacentral:rRNA from 1 species
GGGCCCGCACAAGCGGUGGAGUAUGUGGUUUAAUUCGAUGCAACGCGAAGAACCUUACCAGGGUUUGACAUCCUGCGAAUCUCUUGGAAACAGGAGAGUGCCUUCGGGAACGCAGUGACAGGUGGUGCAUGGCUGUCGUCAGCUCGUGUCGUGAGAUGUUGGGUUAAGUCCCGCAACGAGCGCAACCCACGUCUUUAGUUGCCAGCAUUCAGUUGGGCACUCUAGAGAGACUGCCGGUGAUAAACCGGAGAAGGUGUGGAUGACGUCAAGUCAUCAUGCCCCUUAUAUCCUGGGCUACACACGUACUACAAUGCUACGGACAAAGGGCAGCAAACUCGCGAGAGCUAGCAAAUCCCAUAAACGUGGCUC